rnacentral:rRNA from 1 species
UAUAACUAAGAUUUAGCAAUCUGGCCUCUUCCGCGUCCGAGUUGUAAUUUGAAGAAGGUAUCUUUGGUUUUGGCUCUUGUCUAUGUUCCUUGGAACAGGACGUCACAGAGGGUGAGAAUCCCGUGCGAUGAGAUGCCCAAUUCCAUGUAAAGUUCCUUCGACGAGUCGAGUUGUUUGGGAAUGCAGCUCUAAGUGGGUGGUAAAUUCCAUCUAAAGCUAAAUAUUGGCGAGAGACCGAUAGCGAACAAGUACUGUGAAGGAAAGAUGAAAAGAACUUUGAAAAGAGAGUGAAAAAGUACGUGAAAUUGUUGAAAGGGAAGGGCUUGAGAUCAGACUUGGAAUUUUCCAGCAAUGGAGCUUUCCGGGCCAGCAUCAGUUUGGAUGGCAGGAUAAUUGCGUAGGAAAGUGGCACCACCUCGGUGGUGUGUUAUAGCCUGCGUCGAUACUGCCUAUCUAGACUGAGGACUGCGUCUUUGACUAGGAUGCUGGCAUAAUGAUCUUAAGCC